rnacentral:rRNA from 1 species
GACGAACGCUGGCGGCGUGCCUAAUACAUGCAAGUUGAGCGCUGAAGGUUGGUACUUGUACCAACUGGAUGAGCAGCGAACGGGUGAGUAACGCGUGGGGAAUCUGCCUUUGAGCGGGGGACAACAUUUGGAAACGAAUGCUAAUACCGCAUAAAAACUUUAAACACAAGUUUUAAGUUUGAAAGAUGCAAUUGCAUCACUCAAAGAUGAUCCCGCGUUGUAUUAGCUAGUUGGUGAGGUAAAGGCUCACCAAGGCGAUGAUACAUAGCCGACCUGAGAGGGUGAUCGGCCACAUUGGGACUGAGACACGGCACAAACUCCUACGGGAGGCAGCAGUAGGGAAUCUUCGGCAAUGGACGAAAGUCUGACCGAGAAACGCCGAGGGAGGGAAGAAGGUUGUCGGAUCGUAAAACUCGGUUGGUAGAGAAGAAAGUUGGUGAGAGUGGAAAGCUCAUCAAGUGACGGUAACUACCCAGAAAGGGACGGCUAACUACGUG